rnacentral:rRNA from 1 species
UACGGAGGGUGCAAGCGUUAAUCGGAAUUACUGGGCGUAAAGCGUGCGUAGGUGGUUCGUUAAGUCCGUUGUGAAAGCCCCGAGCUCAACUUGGGGAUUGCAGUGGAUACUGGCGAGCUAGAGUGCGGUAGAGGAAGGUGGAAUUCCCGGUGUAGCGGUGAAAUGCGUAGAGAUCGGGAGGAACACCAGUGGCGAAGGCGGCCUUCUGGACCAGCACUGACACUCAAGCACGAAAGCGUGGGGAGCAAACAGG